UACGUAGGGUGCGAGCGUUAAUCGGAAUUACUGGGCGUAAAGCGUGCGCAGGCGGUUCGCUGUGUCCGAUGUGAAAGCCCCGGGCUUAACCUGGGAAUGGCAUUGGAAACUGGCGGGCUUGAGUGCGGCAGAGGGGGGUGGAAUUCCGCGUGUAGCAGUGAAAUGCGUAGAGAUGCGGAGGAACACCGAUGGCGAAGGCAGCCCCCCUGGGUCGACACUGACGCUCAGGCACGAAAGCGUGGGGAGCAAACAGG
rnacentral:rRNA from 1 species